rnacentral:rRNA from 1 species
AACGAACGCUGGCGGCGCGCUUAACACAUGCAAGUCGAGCGAGAACCGGACCUUCGGGUCCGGGGACAGCGGCGAACGGGUGAGUAACACGUGGGUAAUUUGCCCUCGGUUCUGGGAUAGCCCGGGGAAACCCGGAUUAAUACCGGAUAGCCUCUCGAGCUCUCUGGCUUGAGAGGAAAGGUAGCUUCGGCCUCCGACCGAGGAGAAGCCCGCGGCGGAUUAGCUUGUUGGUGGGGUAAUGGCCCACCAAGGCGACGAUCCGUAGCUGGUCUGAGAGGACGAUCAGCCACACUGGGACUGAGACACGGCCCAGACUCCUACGGGAGGCAGCAGUGGGGAAUCUUGCGCAAUGGGCGAAAGCCUGACGCAGCGACGCCGCGUGAGGGAAGAAGGCCUUCGGGUUGUAAACCUCUUUUCAGCAGGGACGAAGCCACUCAGGUUAAUAGCCGAGAGGGUGACGGGUACCUGCAGAAGAAGCCCCGGCUAACUACGUGCCAGCCGCCGC